AGAACGAACGCUGGCGGCAUGCCUAACACAUGCAAGUCGAACGAGACCUUCGGGUCUAGUGGCGCACGGGUGCGUAACGCGUGGGAAUCUGCCCUUGGGUUCGGAAUAACAGUUGGAAACGACUGCUAAUACCGGAUGAUGACGUAAGUCCAAAGAUUUAUCGCCCGGGGAUGAGCCCGCGUAGGAUUAGCUAGUUGGUGAGGUAAAGGCUCACCAAGGCGACGAUCCUUAGCUGGUCUGAGAGGAUGAUCAGCCACACUGGGACUGGGACACGGCCCAGACUCCUACGGGAGGCAGCAGUGGGGAAUAUUGGACAAUGGGCGAAAGCCUGAUCCAGCAAUGCCGCGUGAGUGAUGAAGGCCUUCGGUUGUAAAGCUCUUUACCCGGGAUGAUAAUGACAGUACCGGAGAAUAAGCUCCGGCUAACUCCGCGCCAGCAGCCGC
rnacentral:rRNA from 1 species